GACGAACGCUGGCGGCGUGCUUAACACAUGCAAGUCGAACGAAGUGGCGAACGGGUGAGUAACGCGUAAUCAACCUGCCCUUCAGAGGGGGACAACAGUUGGAAACGACUGCUAAUACCGCAUACUGAAGGAGGGGAUUGGGUCUGAUUAGCUAGUUGGAGGGGUAACGGCCCACCAAGGGGAUGAUCAGUAGCCUGGCUGAGUGGGUGAACGGACACAUUGGGACCGAGACACGGCCCAGACUCCUGCGGGAGGCAGCAGUGGGGAAUCUUCCGAGAAUGGCGAAAGGCUGACCCAGCAACGCCGCGUGAGUGAAGAAGGUUUUCGGAUCGUAAAACUCUGUUAAUCGGGACGCGGUACCGGAAUAGAAAGCCACGGCUAACUACGUGCCAGCAGCCGCGGUAAUAC
rnacentral:rRNA from 1 species